GAUGACGCUGGCGGCAGGCCUAACACAUGCAAGUCGAGCGGUAACAGGUCCAGCUUGCUGGACGCUGACCAGUUGGCGGACGGGUGAGUAAUGCAUAGGAAUCUACCCAGUCGUGGGGGAUAACCUGGGGAAACCCAGGCUAAUACCGCAUACGUCCUACGGGAGAAAGCGGGGGCUCUUCGGACCUCGCGCGAUUGGAUGAGCCUAUGUCGGAUUAGCUGGUUGGUGGGGUAACGGCUCACCAAGGCGACGAUCCGUAGCUGGUCUGAGAGGAUGAUCAGCCACACUGGGACUGAGACACGGCCCAGACUCCUCCGGGAGGAAACAGUGGGGAAUAUUGGACAAUGGGCGAAAGCCUGAUCCAGCCAUGCCGCGUGUGUG
rnacentral:rRNA from 1 species